rnacentral:rRNA from 1 species
AUACGGAGGGGGUUAGCGUUGUUCGGAAUUACUGGGCGUAAAGCGCGCGUAGGCGGAUUGGUAAGUUAGAGGUGAAAUCCCGGGGCUCAACCCCGGAACUGCCUUUAAUACUGCCAGUCUUGAGUUCGAGAGAGGUGAGUGGAAUUCCUAGUGUAGAGGUGAAAUUCGUAGAUAUUAGGAGGAACACCAGUGGCGAAGGCGGCUCACUGGCUCGAUACUGACGCUGAGGUGCGAAAGCGUGGGGAGCAAACAGGAUUAGAAACCCGAGUAGUCC